rnacentral:rRNA from 1 species
UACGAGGGGGGCGAGCGUUGUUCGGAAUUAUUGGGCGUAAAGGGUGCGUAGGCGGCCUUGUAAGUCAGGGGUGAAAGACGGUAGCUCAACUAUCGCAGUGCCUUUGAUACUGCAGGGCUUGAAUGUACUUGAGGUGGGCGGAAUGUGACAAGUAGCGGUGAAAUGCAUAGAUAUGUCACAGAACACCAAUUGCGAAGGCAGCUUACUAAAGUAUGAUUGACGCUGAGGCACGAAAGCGUGGGGAUCAAACAGG